CACUGGGGGAGGAGAACCACCCCCCACAGGUACUGAGCGGGGAGAGCCCGUCCCUUUCAGUUCCUGAGGAAGGAAGAUCUGCCCUAUGGCCUGAGGAGGCUCUCAGAUGUGGUCGCUGUCGGCGGAUCCCACUGCCAUUUGUGCAGCCUGCGGGUCGUGCUCUCGGGUGUGUCCCUGUGGCCACUGAGCCUCCUUCGGAUGGGCUGGCUGGCUGUCCCCUGCACAUGGAUGAUGUCACCACCAGGGGUGACACAGGCCUGUUCUGGCUCAGCUUCCUGGCCUCAGGGUCUGUGCCCAGCACCAGGGCACUGUCCUGUGCCCCGUGAGCCUCUCCUCUCUCCUCUGGGGCUGGCAAGAGCUCCCUGCGGCGUCCGCAGGUAAAGGGGCCGCGGGGCCGCGCCCUCCUUCCACCCCGAGCCGUGACCUGGUCUCUUCCCAGUUGGCAGGAUCAGUGUGUAGCUUGUCUCUCUGCCAGCAGCACACCGGGGGUGUCCUCUGGGGGACUCCGUGGAAGGGAGCAGCUUCCUCCAGGGCGGCCGGAGCGCCUCGCCCGUGGCCCUUGACCUCCCUCUGGCGGCUUCCUGGCGGUGCCCGUGCGGCCAGGAUGGGGCAGGAGGCCGCGCCCUCCCAGGGAAGUGCCAUCGGCUGUCCAGACCGGCGGGGGAGGGGGUGGAGGGCGGACGGGCAGUGUCCUUUCAGCCCUAUGCACAGAUCGGAGGCGCAGGACCCAGCUCCCGUCAGGGCAGGAGGAGUCUCUGGCCCGGGCCUCCCCCGCCUGGGCCCCCGCGCCCUGAGCGCCUCCGAUCGCAUCGCACUGAACCCUUAACCCUGGGGGGUCGGUGAAGUCCAGCCCCGUGGAGCCUGGAGUGUCUGAGCCGCUCAGGACUGGAAGGGAAGCGUCUUGAGAGAAGGACGCUGCUGCCUCCCGCCCCCGCCUUCUUCUGUCCCCCGUCCUCCCUCCCCUCCCCCCAACCUGUCCUAGUUAAUAGACUUGGAGGGGGACCAGCGACUAACUAAACAGGAACGAGGAGGUGCUGCUGUCGGUGGAAGCAGAGGCCGGGAGGAGCCCAGGGGCGGGGAGGCGUCCAUGUCCUCUGGGGGGUGGGGGGGUCAGAGGAGACCCUGGGGUCAGAGAAGACCCUGGGGAGGCCCGCUGGAAUCACCCAGAAGAAGAGGCCUCCCCCAGGGCCUUCAGUGACCGACCUCAGGGCCUCCGCGUGUCCUGGCCUUGGCUGAGGCCCGGCUUCCGCGCACUUGAAGACCAAGCUGCAUUUCUAGUCCCCAAGUCCCUGAAGAGAUGUGAGGACAACUGGUGCCGGCCUCCUGGGGAGUCAGACCGGGCUGCUGAGGGCUGGGCUCCAGGAAUAAACCACCCACACUGCGUACUCCUCAGCCAAGCUCCGUCAGCUGCUUGACGCAAAGGCGGUGCGCACGCACUGAGAGAAAACCAGAGAAUAGAAAAGCUGCGGAGCUGGAGGAAGAAGACUGCCAGGCGGUGCCAGCAGCACUUGGCUGAACAUCCUUCCAAAGCUCUUCUGGGAUUCGGGGCAGCUACAAAUGUGAACAGCCACCUGCCACACCUCAGGAUGGAGGCCGACAGGGUCCACGGAGGAGCUGCCCCGGAGACCACCUAGAGGGUGCCCGUAUCUCUGGUCCGAACACCCCCGAGCUUCCUUCAAGGGCUUCCAAGAAGGCAACCAGGAGAAGGUGUGUUCCCCACCCUCUUAGCAGCCAUCUCUGCCGAUGAGCAAGCUGGCAGCACGGGAACCGGACACUGGGAGACCAAAGUCGCAAGGGAGUGACUGAGGGGGACCCUGCUGGCCUGACAAUGCCCAGAGCAGCUUGGUGCAGCCGCCCGGUAGAGGGCUGGCUCCCUGGUGCUAGAGUCACACCGGCCUCGUUUCUCAAAACGCUCGCUCCACCUCGGAGUUCGGCCACCUCUCCCCCGCCUGCCCUCCGAGGUCGCCGGCCGCCUUCCCGGACCCCUGCCUGCAUCGCGCCCCCCCGGUCCCAGUGCCCGGGUGCUGGGUGGGGUACCUUAGCCUUUUCCUGCAGCGCCCGCGGCGCAGGGAGGUGGGACUGACCUCGGGCUGGAGCUGAGCAAGCAGCAUCAUCAGAGAGAAGGUCGCCAAGGGCCCGCUCUCGGUCCCCCAAGGAGCGGGGCCCGUGGGCGGCAGGGUGGAGUGAGGGAGCAGCUUGUGUAAAGAAAUCAUUGAGAAAUUUCUAGCGUAACUGGAGGGAAUUAUAAACGACAUCGACUUGGAGCGUAAACUUGCUGCCUAGUUACGAGCCACAGCAAAGGUCUCCAGGACGCGUCUUACAGAACAAACAGAAGACAAGGGCGGGAGCUUCCCGAGCGCAGGGAGGGGCGCUCUGGAUGCCCAGGGGGUGGCCCUUCUUCAUUCUAACGCCACACGGGCCCUGCUUUCACCUGGGCCAACCUGAGGGGUCCUGGGCAACUGGGGGUCCUGACCUGGGGUCGAGGCUAGUUAAAGCACCUGGCAUGCUGACUUGGUUGUGACCUUCUGCUCGUCACACGAGUGAAAUGCAGAUUCCUGAAGUCUGUGUGGCACAAAGCCCCUGGCCCUGGUGGAUCUCCUCUGGGAGCCACUGGGGCUCUGCCUCUGGGCCCUGAGCCUCGGGAACAAGCCCCACCCGGCCCCCAGCAGCACCUGGUCCUUCGCCACCACCUCCAGGGCAUGAGUGAGCUCCGGCCAGAGGGCCUCCCUCUGCACAGGAGUAUGUGCGGAGCCUGCUUGCCUGAGGAAGGGCGGUUGCAGGUGUUGGGGUGCAGCAGGUUUGGGGGGCCAGGCUCUGGUAAGAGUUCAGCCUCCCCUCGGACUGGGAAAAUGCCGAGACGUGCCAGCAGCGCUUUCCACGAGGUGGUGGCUGAAUCCAGGACCGGACCUGGAGACAGCUGACCCAGGGGUCCGGGCCCCUCUCUGGGCAGGGCAAUCGCAGGCACACCCUUAAUAGCCAGAAACACCCCCAGACGUUGGCGAAUGCCCGGGAGUAAACGCCUGCCAGGGCAGCCGCUCCAGCCCCAUGAGGGGGCUGGUCUUUUCUCAAGGGCUGCUUCCUUCCAGCCAGAGUGGAAAUUGAAUCAGGACCAGCUGAAAAACUUGCAGAACCCCAGUGGCAAAUCAAAACACGGGGCUCCUGGUUCGAAUAUGAUGUGAUGCCAGGUGUUGGGCCAGACGCGGGCCUGCUGGCCUUGGCCGCCUGCCCAUGAAGCUGGUUGGCGCUGAAUCAAAUACAAUGCCCCCGAAACAGUGAAUCACCAACAAGCUGCAGAAAUCUCUCAUAGCAAUGAUUUCAAUAGACUCUUUUAAACUUGGUGGCCCACGGGUGGCUGGUGUAGGGACCCCAGUCUGAGCUCCGCCCUGUGCCGAGUAGCUUCGCCUUUCCCAAAGCCUGGCCUCCACAGGACGAGAGAGACCCAAGGCAGCGGCGUGGCAGCAGGAUGGGCCUCUCUGGAAGCAGGUACCUUUUUAGGUGGUGUGUUCCUUGAAGGCAAGAAUGAUGUUUCACAAUAUACACCCAGUGCCUAUCACAGCUUCUUCUACUGUGGUUAAAACAAAAAAAAAAAAAAAGAGCGUUACCAUAAACCCUCCGGCCAUUUCUAAGCUGCUUCAGGAAUGUAAAUAACAUUCACCUUGUUACUGAAUCAUCUCCAGAUCUUUGCAACCUCACAAAACUGCAACUGUCCCGUUAAACAACCCCUGCCACCACCUAGCCCUCAGGCCCCAGCAAACACCCUGCGAAAGAAUCUAUGCCACUUACUAAUCCAGGUGCCUCAUAAGAGUGGAAUGACACAGUCCUUGGGGUUUUUUGUAAAUGUACAUUUUUGGGUAACUUUUACUUCGCUUAAUGGCCUCAAAAUCUCUCCACGUUGCAGCACAUCGCAGAAAUCCCCCCUUUUUAUUUGUCAUGGUCACUCCUAUUAUCUUUCUUCUAGUUUAUUGACAUACAGUGUUCGGUAGGCUUAAGGCGUGUGGCACAAGGAGGUGACCCGCCCGCCUCAUGAAAUGACCGUCACGGUAAGUUUACUGGCCACCCACGUGUCACACAGCUUCAAAGCCAAAGAGAAAGACCUUUGUGCCUGUGAUGAGAACUCUUUGGCGCCUCCGGCCGUGCUACUUCUAUCAGUGCCUGUGUGGUACGUCCUGUCACGAGCACUUACCCGUCUUAGAACUGGAAGUUUGUACCUUCAGAUGAACCGCACCCAACCCUCUCUCCCCUCACCCCUGGGGACCCACAAAUCCGAUCUCUUUUUUAGGCGUUCGUUCGUUUGCUUUUGAAGCCCUUCCUUGCUCCACCUCCAGAAUGAGUCCACUGCACAUACGCGCCGCCUUUUGCUUAUCCAUCCACUUGUCUCCGGACCCUGGAGGCGCUGCCAUGGUUCAGCCGUCACGUUGCUCUGAACAUGGGUGUACAACCAGUAGCUUUGACGCCGCCACCCCAUUUUCCACAGCAUCCGCACCGUCUUUCAGCUCGCCUACAGCGCACAGUCCGCCUCUCCAGCUCCUCAACGUUCUCACCAACACGUGCUGUUUUCUGCUGUUUUUAUAUUAACUAUCCUAAUAAGUGCAAGGUGAUCUUAUGGUGGAUUUGAUUUGCAUUUUCCUCAUGAUUAGUGAUAUUGAGCAUCUGGUUUUUUUGUUUGGUUUUGGUUUUUUCUGUUUGGUUUUAUUUUGCUUUUUAGGGCCACAGCCACGGCAUAUGGAGGUUCCUAGGCUAGGGGUCCAAUCGGAGCUGCAGCUGCAGGCCACAGCCACAGCCACAGCCACAGAACAUCAGAUCUGCCACCUACACCACAGCUCAUGGCCACGCUGGAUCCUUAACCCACUGAGUGAGGCCAGGGAUCGAACCCCCAACCUCCUGGUUCUUAGUCGGAUUCAUUUCUGCUGCACCACGAUGGGAACUGUGCUAUUGAGCAUCUGUUCAUGUGUCUGUUGGCCAUUCGUAUAUCUUCAUUGGAGAGAUGUUUAUUCAGGUCCUUUGCUCAUUUUUAAAUAAAGUUCUUGUUGUUGA